UACGAAGGGAGCUAGCGUUGUUCGGAAUCACUGGGCGUAAAGCGCACGUAGGCGGAUGUGUCAGUCAGGGGUGAAAUCCCGGAGCUCAACUUCGGAACUGCCCUUGAUACAGCACGUCUUGAGUCCGAGAGAGGUGAGUGGAAUUCCUAGUGUAGAGGUGAAAUUCGUAGAUAUUGGGAGGAACACCAGUGGCGAAGGCGGCUCACUGGACCGGUACUGACGCUGAUGCGCGAAAGCGUGGGGAGCAAACGGG
rnacentral:rRNA from 1 species